CCGAGUGGCAUCUGACUCCUGCAGGAGGACAGACGACGCCCUGGGGCUCCUUCCCCUCCCCUGAGAACCCUUCCUGGUGGCCAGGGGCCUGCUGGCAGCUCAUGACCAGGGUGGCGUCGGUGCCAGCGGGGGACAGCCACUGACUUGACCAAAGCCUGUUGUGAUGUCAUGCGUGAGUGCUCUGGGGCUUUUUCACUCCCCCUCAGUGUGUGUUUAUUGGUGGCUGGGCAUGCAGACACACAGAUGGCUGGGCAUGCAGACACACAGAUGACCGGGCCCGCAGCCCGGCUCGGUUAAGGGUGGACGUUCCCACCACGCUCCACCCCAGCCUGCGGGCGAACAGGCCAUUGCGGGCUGAGGGCAGGGGUUCGUUGCCAACCUUAAAGGGGCUCGGCGUAUUUACAGCUAAAAGGUCUGUCCAGCUGCCCUCCUCAUCUGUCCUAAAGGUUUCCCCUGGAAGAUGUCCUGACGGUGACUCUUUAUAGCAACUCCGGUUCCAGUGGGGGCGUGACGGGGCAGGGCCGGAAUGUGCAUACCUGAUACAGCUCAAACAUCUUCCUUGGCUGCCCGCUGCCUUCACCUACAACGCGAGACCUUGCACCCUGACGCCAGCCGGUUGCCUUGGCCGCCUUGGCCUGACAUCUCCGAGCCCUGCUCUUGCGGGUCCACCAGUCCAAAAAACUCCCCUGCGCUGGAAAGGCCCAGCACUUGGUAUAUUCCCCAUCUCCCGUCCGUCCUGCCGUCAACACCUGUACACCUGUCUGCUCAGGGGCUGGGAGGUCCUAACAGGCAGAGGCUGCAUUCCUACUGCAGAACUGUAGGGGCUCGCUGGAUGUUUGCCACGUGGAACUGAGCCGAACCUGGCAACAGUGGGCUGGUGGCUCAGGGGAGGUUUGUCUUUGGUCCCUCUUGUUGCCUGCCUAAUCUACAUGCCCUAUCGCGAUGCUGCAGAGCAGUGUAUGCACAUCAGUAAACACGCCUGAUUAACUCUGUCCUAAGUUUGCUCUUCAGGUAGCAAAGUCAUCAGUUCAAAAGCAAACCAGCAAAAUUAGAAGCAAACGAUCGUUCCAGAAGGAGCAAUAAGCUGGACUUGGUUACGGUCUACUGAGUUGUGCGUGUCUUUUGCAAUGUUCUGGAGCUGGUUUUCAGAGGUCUGCUUUGUUGCACAAUGACUUACUGUGCACCACAAGAAUUCAGUCAACACACCCCUGGUGAUCAGAAAACAAGCAAAAAUGACUGCAGCAGCAGCCAAAGGCUCCAUCCCAUUCCACGCGUUAAGGUCCACCCACUGUCCUCUUACGAAACCCGCUGCUGGGCCUCCCAGCAGAGUCCGGGUCCGUAUUUGAAAGCUGCAGGGUCAGGGACGGGUCCCGCGUGGGCCACCCUGGCUGCGUGGUCUCAGAGGCGUUCCUGUGCCCCCCAGAGCCACAGGUGCUCACAGAGUCCAACACGGAGACGCCAACAGCAGAGCCUACUCCCCCCGAGGUCGUGGCGAGGAUCAGAGAGGUCGGGAAUGUGGACGCGGUGCCUGGCAAUGAGCGCUCGUCCAGUUCGGCACCAUGAACGAAACAGCGCUGCGGAGGGGAGCGGGGCAUGCUCUCCCACGCCUGGGGUGGGGGGCUGGGAAACACAUCACGCCGCGCAGGGACAGGGACGCUCGGUCCCGCGCACGGCGCCCCACAGACUCCCAGCGGCUGGCGUCGGCGCGGCUUCCUGACGCGCCCGCUUCGCUCUGGGGCUGCGGGUACGCGCUCUCCUCUCAAACUGUCAGAGGGCAUGGGUUGCAUCGAGGGCCUGGGGCAGACUGGGGGCGUGUUAAGCCAGAGCGUUAACCGGCGCUGAGCACCACACGCUUGCAGGGGAGGGGCACUGGAGCCUGAGACCCUCCACGUCCAGCCGGGCCGAGGCCAGUCUGCCCACAGGGAACCUGAACUCGGACGCCUCGGGGUGGGGACCUCCUCCCCCAUGUUGCAAAAUGGGAGGUCGUGUGAAGGAAGAAAAGGGGACUCCAGAGAGGCAGAGGAGGGCCAGUUCUACGGACGCCUUCCCCCGAGCCUCAACACCACCCGCAUGAGGGAUACAGGCCGUUGACGCUUUGGUCCGCAUGCACCUGCGAUGUGGCGGGGGUCACAGCAGGUGCCCGUCCAGGGCAGGUGCCCAGAGGCAGCAGCAGGUGGAGAAAGGGGUACGGGGUGGGUCUGCCACGUUGAGGGCUCCAGUGACAGACCUUGCCUCUGAGGGGCGCCCGGCCCGGGCAAGAAGACCGGCGAGGGAGCACCGGGUUGGACCCCAGGACCGCGGGGAGGAGGCGGCUCCCUGGGAGGGGGCCCUGGGUUCCAGGCCAUCUCUGGAGCAGGGCCGGGGAAAGCAAAGAGACACAAAGAAUCCAGGAAGAAAUUAAAAUCAAGGCCCAGACACGUGUUUAUUGAACGCCUACCAAUGCAGGGCCCGGCGCUGGGCGCCAGCAGGGCUCAGCCCACGGCCCGUCCGCGCCCCCGGGGAGCAGGCUGCUCCCCCCCACCGCUCCCUACCCGGGAGCCAGAGGCAGGGGCGGAGAGAGUCUUUCUUCAUAGAGACGCUUGUUUUCUAGCUGCCCGUGCCCCACACCGUGGCCUCUCCCCAGGCGGCUCGGAUUUCAUUUUCCCUCUGUCCCUUCUGCUGCUAACACACAUCUGGGUUUGAGAUCAAGGGUGACACACUGACGCGUCCGCUGCCAGAUGCCGGCUACCGGGACGCACAGUCCUCGGCCGAAUCCAGAGCACACGCAACCGCAGAGCCCUGCCCCUGCCCCUGCGGCCACCGCGGCCACCGCAUGAUGUCACUUCCCCCCACCAGGAGCCUGCAAAACCGACCCCCGCGCACCCAGCCAGGCUGGGGAUGGAAAAGAACGGGCCGGGUGGGGAAUCCAGGUCACGGAGCGUGAUCCAAGGGGGUGGGCCACGUUCCGACUGGGGACUCACAGCCACCCAGGGAAAACCAACGGGGGCCGCGCUGUCCUGCCGCCGUCCUCAGCGGGGAGCCAACAGCGAGGGGGCUUGCCGGAAAACCCGGGUGUCGCCGACACUCAACAGACCCAACUGUGACCGGCCCCGGAGACACCGUUCUCCCCCUUCGGAUCCGUCUGCUGCCACCAUCACUCGGCCCCGUGUCCCCAAGUCCCUGUCACGCGCCCACCAACACCUUUUGAACCCUACUAUGUCCACAGAAGCACCACGGAAGUUCCUGGGGAAAAUAAGCCCACGCCGCGCCCACGCCAGACGGUGGGGUCAGACCCAGAAAGAAAACCGCUCCCGGAGCUCACGUGUCUCUCACUCCCCGAAGCCUCUUUACCGUCCCGUCCGGGGCCCGUGCUCUCCGGAGCAGCCCCACGCGCGUAAGUCCAUCCUGCAGGUCAGCCCCGUGCGCUGCUCUGCCGGGCACGGGCUCCCACCCAGGAGCACGGGUAAGUGGGCGCGUGGUAAGCCCCGACCUCCCCCGGCGUGUCCCACACACCCAGUCCCCGCUGAGGCCGAGCUCGGGCAGCAGGAGCAGCAAGGUGGCUGCAGUCCCUCCGAGUCUCCCGUCUGCCCAGAGAGGGUGCAGGCAUCUCCAGGACUCGCAAACCCGCUCCUCUAAACACGAAGCCCUAAUCUGCCCCGGAUCACCUGCGCCGACUCAGAAACCGGGAGGAGGUGCUCGGUGUCACCAGGGGUCACCGGCACCCC